GACAGCAGUAGCCGCGGUAAUACGUAGGUGGCAAGCGUUGUCCGGAAUUAUUGGGCGUAAAGCGCGCGCAGGCGGAUCAGUCAGUCUGUCUUAAAAGUUCGGGGCUUAACCCCGUGAUGGGAUGGAAACUGCUGAUCUAGAGUAUCGGAGAGGAAAGUGGAAUUCCUAGUGUAGCGGUGAAAUGCGUAGAUAUUAGGAAGAACACCAGUGGCGAAGGCGACUUUCUGGACGAAAACUGACGCUGAGGCGCGAAAGCUAGGGGAGCGAACGGGAUUAGAUACCCCCGUAGUCCCUGUCUCUUAUACA
rnacentral:rRNA from 1 species